CCAGCCGCUGGGUCGCUAUAAAUGUGAGGCGCGGGCGCGCGCUUUCUCUCUCACUCUCUCUCUGUGGACGUGGGAUGUGGUGUCUGUGCCGCGAUGUGAACCCACGGUGACUUGCACGUGUUGUGUGCUGAUCUACAUGGACCACGUGACCCAGGUAACCUGGCUCCCAUUUCCUGGUCGACCAUCACCCAUCAGUCACCCACCCAGCGGCAGUCAGCUGUGCAGGCCAACACCAUGCCUGAACCAGUGUUACUCUGCUGGGAGAUGAACGCACAGCCAGCACGGCGCCACUCAGCAGCUCCCGUUUUGGGGGCCGUCUGAUGCUGGGCCACGGCGAUGCGGCGUUUCCUCUUGAGAGUGGAUUGGCCUGCUGUUAGUUGGGCGCCAUCCUAGUCUGGGAAUGUACACAACACCUUGUGUUUGAUUGGUUUCCAUUUGAAGCCGCAUGAAGUGGUGGCCAGAACUGUCCCCAAACUUCAACCACCACAGAUGAACUCUUCACUUGCGUGCUGCUUACCAGGAGGAUGGCGUUUUACUCUACUUCAUGUGUUUCAGGAAACUGGGCUGCACUAAUCUGUGCUGCAGAAGUAAGAUGGUUCGCCCUGACGUCAGCGCAUCGUAGCUAGUUCUUGGUAUGUGUUGUCUGGCAAUAUUUUUUAUUUUUUUGACAAUCUGUGCCGGGAUUAAAAAUAAUCAACGCAUCAUUCUUAUGAUUCUGUGAAGAGCUGAACAAGCACUGAGCACAGAAAUGUAAUUUUUGGUUGUGCAUGGUUGUGUACCAUUUUUGUAAAUUUUUUUUUUUUUUUUUUUUCUCUCCCCCUCCUCCCCCCUCUUUUCUCUUCUUUCCUUCAGCGCAGCAGGCUGGUGUCUGAGUUCCUGGAUGUUUGAGUGCUUCCAGUGGCAGGUAUCAUGACAUACACAUUAUUAUUAUUAUUAUUAUUUUUAAAGGCAACCAUCGAUCCCCAAGUUGAUACGCUCAUGGCGAAGGCGACUUCCUUGCUAUGAUCCAAUUUAGUCUUGGGACAGUAAAUCAGGGCUGGCACAGGUUAAAGCGGUCUGUCUGCAUUAAUCUGACAAGAAGGCCUGAAACAUUGUUGUACACUCAAAUGUAGUAUUCUGAAAGGUACAUUGAUGUUUUAUUCUUUUUGUAGGUACCAAGGAUCCUGGACAAGGGGUUUUUUUGUGGCUGGACUGUUUCUGCCUGUGAAGCUGAUUUGUUUUGCCUUCUGUAAAUGUAACUUCUAAUUAAAAAAAAUAAAUUUAAAUCCAAACUGCCUUUCCUUUUCUCC
rnacentral:lncRNA from 1 species